AGCGAACGCUGGCGGCGUGCCUAACACAUGCAAGUCGAACGUGAAAAGGGAAACGUGAGUAAAGUGGCGUACGGGUGAGUAACGCGUAGGGAAUCUACCGCAGAAUCUGGAAUAACCUGCCGAAAGGCGGGCUAAUACUGGAUAGAGCGAGUGAACUCGUAAGAGAGGUUUUCGGGAAAGGGAGCCCGCAAGGGCCUUCGUUCUGGGAUGAGCCUGCGUCUCAUUAGCUAGUUGGUAAGGUGACGGCUUACCAAGGCGAUGAUGAGUAGCUGGUCUGAGAGGCGGAUCAGCCACACUGGAACUGAAACACGGUCCAGACUCCUACGGGAGGCAGCAGUGGGGAAUCUUGCGCAAUGGACGAAAGUCUGACGCAGCCACGCCGCGUGAGUGAAGAAGGCCUUCGGGUUGUAAAGCUCUGUCGGAUGGGACGAACAUCUUCAUAGUGAAUAGCUAUUAGGACUGACGGUACCAUCAAAGGAAGCACCGGCUAACUCCGUG
rnacentral:rRNA from 1 species